CAAAUGAAGUAGAUUUUCGAUUAUAAAAUCGUAAAUAAUCAAUCAAAAGAAUAGAACAUGUUAUGUAGAAUAGCUAGGUGAAUGCUAGCAUUCUCCACAAUGAAAACUCAAAAGAAUUUGUCAACAGCGAAAGGGAGACUAUAGAUACUUCAAUAAGAGUGAAAACGGAUUGACGCAUAAGAGAUAAAGAGGCAGCUCAGCAAAAAUCUUACCAUAUCAAGCAAAAUGCGACCAAACACUAAAGAUUGACGAUUGAUGAUGGCGACUUAGGCCAUUGGGGGAGGUCAUUUGGUUCAACAGUGAAGAUCGAAGAUUGGAGCCUCAAUGCUUGAAAUCCAUAGCAUCAACAAAAUCCAAUUAUAAAAUAAAUGAGAAUCUGAUCGAGAGAGAAGAUACAAAAAGCCAACUCACAGAAAUCUUACCAUAACAAGCAAAACAUGCCAAGAAAAGAAGGAUUUCAGAUCGAGGACGAAGAUUUUUGUAGUUGGAGAGUUCGUUUUGGUUAAUUGGCAGCCAAAGAUUCAGAUUUAGAGUUAGUACAGAGAAGCAAAUAGCUAAAUGCAGAUCGAAAAUGGCAUUUUGGUUGGUUGGAGAGCUCGUUUAGUUAACCGGCGGCCAUAAUUUCAGAUUUAGGGUUAGUAGAGAGGCAAAGAGCUUUGUGAUGAUUGGAAAGAGAUGAGAUGAAAUUCUUGCAAAUGGGCACCCACUUAAUGAAACCAAUAAGCCCAACUAGAAAGAGAAAAAAUGAAAUUCUUGUAAAUGGGUACAC
rnacentral:lncRNA from 1 species